rnacentral:rRNA from 2 species
GCUCAAAUUUGAAAUCUCACCUAUGGUGCGAAUUGUAGUUUAGAGAAGCGUUUUCAGGGCGGACUAGUGGUACAAGUUCAUUGGAACAUGGCAUCAUAGAGGGUGAAAAUCCCGUAUUUGAUCAUUAGUUCUGCCCAAUAUGAUACGUUUUCCAAGAGUCGGUUUGUUUGGGAAUGCAGACCAAAAUGGGUGGUAAAUACCAUCUAAAGCUAAAUAUUGGCGAGAGACCGAUAGCGAACAAGUACCGUGAGGGAAAGAUGAAAAGAACUUUGAAAAGAGAGUUAAACAGUACGUGAAAUUGUCAAAAGGGAAACGUUUGAAACCAGUAUUGUCGCUGCAAUUUGGGAGUCGCUUGCGGCUUUUUAUUUUUGCUUUGACGGGUCAACAUCAGUUUUGGGUGAUGUAAAAAGCCUUUGGAAUGUAGCCCUUUUGGGUGUUAUAGCCUCUGGUCAUGCAUUGCCUGGGACUGAGGAUUGCAGUGUUAUUUGGGGAAUCCGUCUUCUUUGGAAGCAGCGCGUACAAAUGCAUGCAGAUGUGCGCGACUGCCAAGAGGCUAGGCGGGCUUACCACACCAACACUUUGGAUGUUGACGAAAUGGUUUUAAGCGACCCGUCUUGAAACACGGACCAAGGAGUCUAACAUAUAUGCGAGUAUUUGGGUGGUAAACCCUUGUGCGUAAUGAAAGUGAAAGGGUGGGAUUCUUUACGGAUGCACCAUCGACCGCGUCAGAUUAUUGUUAUCUUGGCGUGAGUGUGAGCAUACAUGCUAGGACCCGAAAGAUGGUGAACUAUGCCUGAAUAGGGUGAAGCCAGAGG